rnacentral:rRNA from 1 species
UACGAAGGGGGCUAGCGUUGCUCGGAAUUACUGGGCGUAAAGGGCGCGUAGGCGGCUCUGUUAGUCAGGCGUGAAAGCCCUGGGCUCAACCUGGGGACUGCGCUUGAUACGGCGGGGCUUGAGGGCAGGAGAGGCUCGCGGAAUUCCCAGUGUAGAGGUGAAAUUCGUAGAUAUUGGGAAGAACACCGGUGGCGAAGGCGGCGAGCUGGCCUGUUACUGACGCUGAGGCGCGACAGCGUGGGGAGCAAACAGG